GCAUUGGUGGUUUAGGGGUAGAAUCCUCACUUUCCAUGCGUGAGAGCUGGGUUCGAUUCCCAGCCAGUGCG
rnacentral:tRNA from 1 species